rnacentral:rRNA from 1 species
AAGACUAACCAGGAUUCCCUUGGUAACGGCGAGUGAAGAGGGAAGAAGCCCAGCACCGAAGCCUGCGGCAAUUUUGCUGUUAGGCAAUGUGGUGUGCGGGUCGACUCGCGGAACCCAUCACUCCACUCGAAGUCCAGCAUUGAGUAUGGCAAUUAUUGGAUUUGGCCCAUAGAGGGUGAGAGGCCCGUACGGGUGGAGGUUCAGACAUGUACGAUGGUUCACCAGGUCGGCCUCAGAGUCGGGUUGUUUGAGAUUGCAGCCCAAAGAGGGUGGUAAACUCCAUCCAAGGCUAAAUAUUGCCAUGAGUCCGAUAGCGAACAAGUACCAUGAGGGAAAGUUGAAAAGUACUCUGAAGAGAGAGUAAACAGUACGUGAAGCCGCAUGCAGGUAAACGGGUGGCGUCAAGCUGCGAGCCCAGAGGAUUCAACUGAUUGGGAUGUAGUGUACGCGCGCCUGGUGCGUCGAGAGGUCGGAGUAAGAUGUUUUGGCGGUCCACUCCUCUAUUAGGAGUGGGGCGGCGCAAUCGGUGUGCGCGCUUGCGUGUACUAUCGAUUGUCGUCGCUAUACAUGCCGGAUGGGUGCCGGAGUAUGCCGCUCAUCUGUUGGGCCACCUAAUCAGUGCAUUUUCUCUGUGGUGAACACCACGACCGGUGGAACUGCCAGUCUGCUAUGAUCAAGUCGUAUUCAUCUGGCGCGUUACUGUGUUAGGUGGGUACGAUCGCAGGUAGAGUCGGUGGACGGCGCAGUGGUGCUUCGGUACUGCCGCGUGUUAUCGUGCACUCUCUAUCGUAAACGGUUUGAUGGGGUUUGACUAAGUACUGUGACUUACUUCCCUAUUAAUCGGCGGAUCAUAGUGGUGAAAGGGACUGUGCAGGGCACCGGAGUUGUCCACCUCAUUCAAUAUGGUAUCCGGCACGCACGUCACAGGUGCUAUUAAUUAAUAAUAAUCGAGAUGCGCCGCUGUCUACCCAGUAUUGGGCCUGACUGUCGUGUUGCCUGCGCAAAGUGGGUCCGGCAGUGGUUAUUGAUACUUGGUAGUUGCAGUGUGUUGCGUAUCUUGGGUGUCUGUGAUACCGGGGGUGAAAUAGUCAGUGGUGCUGUGUAGACGAG